rnacentral:rRNA from 1 species
UUGCAGGAAGCCAAGCUAGCUAAGAUGGAGGCGGAUAACUGGGAGGAGUUACAGUUGAAAGUAGCCAGGACUAUACGGUUGUGUUUGUCGGACCAAGUUAUUUAUCAUGUGAUGGAUGAGAAUUUGCCGAAGAAGAUCUAGGAGAAGCUGAAAAGUCAGUUUAUGUCCAAGACUGCGACGACCAAGGUGUAUCUGAAGCAAAAGUUGUAUGGGAUGAGGAUGCAGGAGGGGUUAGAUCUUGUGGAGUAUAUGAACGCCUUUAAUUAA